CUAGCGGCAGGCUUAACACAUGCAAGUCGAGGGGUAUAUUUCUUCGGAGAUAGAGACCGGCGCACGGGUGCGUAACGCGUAUGCAAUCUACCUUUUACAGAGGGAUAGCCCAGAGAAAUUUGGAUUAAUACCUCAUAGUAUAUAGACUCGGCAUCGAGAUUAUAUUAAAGUCACAACGGUAAAAGAUGAGCAUGCGUCCCAUUAGCUAGUUGGUAAGGUAACGGCUUACCAAGGCUACGAUGGGUAGGGGUCCUGAGAGGGAGAUCCCCCACACUGGUACUGAGACACGGACCAGACUCCUACGGGAGGCAGCAGUGAGGAAUAUUGGACAAUGGGCGCAAGCCUGAUCCAGCCAUGCCGCGUGCAGGAUGACGGUCCUAUGGAUUGUAAACUGCUUUUAUACGAGAAGAAACACUGCUACGUGUAGCAGCUUGACGGUAUCGUAAGAAUAAGGAUCGGCUAACUCCGUGCCAGCAGCCGCGGUAAUACGGAGGAUCCAAGCGUUAUCCGGAAUCAUUGGGUUUAAAGGGUCCGUAGGCGGUUUAAUAAGUCAGUGGUGAAAGCCCAUCGCUCAACGGUGGAACGGCCAUUGAUACUGUUAAACUUGAAUUAUUAGGAAGUAACUAGAAUAUGUAGUGUAGCGGUGAAAUGCUUAGAGAUUACAUGGAAUACCAAUUGCGAAGGCAGGUUACUACUAAUGGAUUGACGCUGAUGGACGAAAGCGU
rnacentral:rRNA from 1 species